AUGAGGCCUCCUUUAACAACUCUGUGACCUCAUCACUCAUCAGCAGAGUCAAGUGGUUAGAACUCUAUGAGUAUUCCAUUUGAAAACAUAUUUUAGUUCCUUGGUUACCAGGGGUAUAGAUACACAAAUAUCAUAGACACAGAAGUUACAUAUGCUUUUAUUAAGAGUUAAUGAUUUAAAAAAUAACCUAAUGAUAUGAGUGCUAAAUUUGUAAAUAAUUGAAAUGAGUCACUUUCUUCUGGUAACACCUUCCUGGGGCUAUUCCAUUCCAAGAUGACCAAAUAGGAACAGCUCUGGUCUGGAGCUCCCAGCGUGCCCGACACAGAAGACGGGUGAUUUCUGCAUUUUCACAGAGUUAUUCCUUUGUAGUUGUGAUCCAGCAUGGAUGUGGUGUGGUUGUAUCAGUGACUGCAGGUAGUCUGUGGAGCAUUACACAGUUCUUUACGGAAAUAGCAGCUGCAAGUGACCAGGACCACUGACAGCAGAAGGCACCUCACUUACCAUGGUGAGCUGUACAAGUUAGCAGAAGCUGUUAG
rnacentral:lncRNA from 1 species